CGGUCACAUCACGUUGAAACACCGGUUCACUUAAGAUCAGCGAAGUUAAGCAACUUCGAGUCUGAUCAGUACGAAGAUGGGUGACCACUUGAGAAACCAGGUGCUGUAAG